rnacentral:lncRNA from 1 species
AGCCAGGGGGGAACCCAGAGCCCCCCAGCGGGUCACAGGGGGAGGGGGCUGCAGGACCUGGGGGGGGUCCCGGGCAACCUGGGGGGGUCCCUGGGCAACCUGGGGGGGGUCCUCUGGCAGCGGGGGGUGGGCGGCUCAGGCCCCGGUGCCCCCCCCGCGGCUGCUUUGAUGCGGUGCACCGCAGGGCAAUGGGAGCCACAUGGCGGGGGGGGCACCGGGGGGGCACAGGGGGGCGAGGGGACACGUGGGGGAGGGGAGGAGGGGGAGGGGGGGGGGGGGGGGACACCGCGGACCCCAAAAUCCAUCUGGGAUGUGCGGGUCUGUCCCUGCCCUGCUGGGGUCUCGUCCCCAUUGUCUUGGGGUCCCUCCCUGGUGUUUUGGGGUCUGUUCACGGCAUUUUGGGGUCCAUCCCCGGUAUCCUGGGGUCUUGUCCCCAUUAUUUUGGGGUCUGUCCCUUGUAUCUUGGGGUCCGUCCCCAUUAUCUUGGGGUCUGUCCCUGGUAUCUUGGGGUCUGUCCCUGAUAUUUUGGGGUCCGUCCUUGAUAUUUUGGGGUCCAUCCCCAGUACCUCAGGAUCCGUCCUUGAUAUCUUGGGGUCCAUCCCCAGCAUCUCAGGGUCUUGUCCCCAUUAUCUUGGGGUCCAUCCCCGGCAUUGUGGGGUCCAUCCCUGCAAUCUUGGGGUCUCCCUGGUAUCUUGGGGUCUGUCCCUAAUAUCUUGGGGUCCAUCCCCAGCAUCUUGGGGUUUGUCCCCAGCACCUUGGGGUCUCCCUGAUAUCUUGGGGUCUGUUCCCAGCAUUUUGGGGUCCAUCCCUGGUAUCUUGGGAUCAGUCCCUAAUAUUUUGGGGUCCAUCCCCAGCACCUUGGGGUCCAUCUCCAGCAUUUUGGGGUCCAUCCCUGCUAUCUUGGGGUCUCCCCAUUAUCUUGGGGUCCACCCCCGGCAUCUCGGGGCCCGUCCCCGCCACCCCAGGUCGCGUCCCCGCCGUCCCGGUGUCGGUGUCCCCGGUGUCCCCGGUGUCCCCGGGGGCCGAUCCCAUUGCCGGGUAUUUCUGGCCCCGGGAUAAUUAAAGGCAGCUCCGGGGCGUGGGCACCGCUCGGCCCCGCAGCAACCUCUGCCCCCGGCUUCCCCGCGGCCUGGGGACC